rnacentral:rRNA from 1 species
GGGUAUAUGUCUUCGGAUGUAGAGACCGGCGCACGGGUGCGUAACGCGUAUGCAAUCUACCUUUUACAGGGGAAUAGCCCAGAGAAAUUUGGAUUAAUGCCCCAUAGUAUAAUUGAAUGGCAUCAUUUAAUUAUUAAAGUCACAACGGUAAAAGAUGAGCAUGCGUCCCAUUAGUUAGUUGGUAAGGUAACGGCUUACCAAGACAAUGAUGGGUAGGGGUCCUGAGAGGGAGAUCCCCCACACUGGUACUGAGACACGGACCAGACUCCUACGGGAGGCAGCAGUGAGGAAUAUUGGACAAUGGGCGCAAGCCUGAUCCAGCCAUGCCGCGUGCAGGAAGACGGUCCUAUGGAUUGUAAACUGCUUUUAUACAGGAAGAAACACUCCGACGUGUCGGAGCUUGACGGUACUGUAGGAAUAAGGAUCGGCUAACUCCGUGCCAGCAGCCGCGGUAAUACGGAGGAUCCAAGCGUUAUCCGGAAUCAUUGGGUUUAAAGGGUCCGUAGGCGGUUUAAUAAGUCAGUGGUGAAAUCUGGUCGCUCAACGAUCAAACGGCCAUUGAUACUGUUAGACUUGAAUUAUAAGGAAGUAACUAGAAUAUGUAGUGUAGCGGUGAAAUGCUUAGAUAUUACAUGGAAUACCAAUUGCGAAGGCAGGUUACUACUUAUGGAUUGACGCUGAUGGACGAAAGCGUGGGGAGCGAACAGGAUUAGAUACCCUGGUAGUCCACGCCGUAAACGAUGGAUACUAGCUGUUGGAAGCAAUUUCAGUGGCUAAGCGAAAGUGAUAAGUAU